GACGAACGCUGGCGGCGUGCCUAAUACAUGCAAGUAGGACGCAGUUGCGAACGGGUGAGUAACGCGUAGGUAACUACCUAUUAGAGGGGGAUAACUAUUGGAAACGAUAGCCAAUACCCCAUACUAGUAGAUGGACCUGCGUUGUAUUAGCUAGUAGGUAGGGUAAUGGCCUACCUAGGCAACGAUACAUAGCCGACCUGAGGGGGUGAGAGGCGACACUGGGACUGAGCCACGGCCAAGACUCCGACGGUAGGAAGCAGUAGGGAAUCGUCGGCAAUGGGGGGAACCCUGACCGAGCAACGCCGCGUGAGUGAAGAAGGUUUUCGGAUCGUAAAACUCUGUUGUUAGAGAAGCGGUAUCUAACCAGAAAGCCACGGCUAACUACGUGCCAGCCGCCGCGGUAAUAC
rnacentral:rRNA from 1 species